GUUGGUGUGUGGCAAGACUGCUAGCAAGCAGCACCCUUUCUGCAGAAAGUAAACUAGCCUUGCUGAGAGAUCCUUUGUCUCAGUGUUGAUUUUUGCAACACUAAGCACCCGUUCCCAACAAUUUGGUGGCCCGUAGGGGAUUAACAUUCCCCUCUGGGACAGUCUUUGGUCCUCUCUCAUGGGGAGGUGCCCCACUGCCCAUUGUAGCAGCCCCUGGAGGACAGCCAGGACCUACCCGGAGCAAGGAAUAUAGUUGGAUUCUCAGCAACGCAGGGAAAGAGAGAGGCUUGCAGGACCACAGUGACCAGGUGACUCCAUGCACGGGCCAAGGUAGGAAAAGCUGCAAGAGGGUGGCAAAGUAUUUCCUUGGUGGUCAGCUUUUGGAGGCUGAGUGUGUGUGUGUGUGUGUGUGAACGACUACCAGUCUGUUGCUGGACAGAGUGCAUGAACACAAACAGGAAGGGUGUAAGGAACCACCGAAAGGGAAAAGGAGGAAGGUUAACCUCCCAGGGAAAGAGAAUCGGCGAGACAUCUCUGGUGUGAGAGAUUGAGCCUUUCACAAGCCUUUAAGGAUGGGACAGCCAAGACAUCCCCAGUCUGAAGAAUCUGGGGGAUUGAGCCUUGCCGGGAAAAGAAUAGGCGAGACAUCCCUAGCACAAGGGAUUGGGCCUAUCUAGGAUCCAACAUGGGAAAAGGCCCUUGGCAAGCCUCCAAAGGAAGGAAGGGCAAGAAGCCUCUAGUAGGAGAGGUUGAGCCACCCCCAGCCCCCUGCCGCUGCCAUAUCCAGGAGUGCUAGAAACCUCCAGCAAGGAGCAAGGGGGGUUGAAAGCUCCAGGGAAAGGGCCUAUCCCAGGCACCACCCCAAAACUUCAAGAUAGGAAAUGUUUCGAGUAAGACAGGGAAGAUAAACACCUGUGGCUACAGCAAUAUUAGUUGAAGAAAGUAGAAAAUUAACCUUUGGGGGGAGAUUAACUGUAAGCACGCCCCACCAAGUUAGAGCUAUUUUAAAUCAAAAAGCAGGAAGGUGGCUUACUGACUCCAGAAUCUUGAAAUAUAAGGCUAUUUUGCUAGAAAAAGAUGAUUUACCCUUGACUACUGAUAAUUCACUCAACCCAGCGGGUUUCUUGGCAGGAGACCCAAAUUUAAAAAACACUCGUGUCUAGAUUUGACUGACUACCAAACAAAAGUCAGGCCAGAUCUAGGAGAGGCCCCUUUUAAAACAGGACGGCACUGGUUUAUAGAUGGUUCCCCCAAAAUAGUCAAAGGAGAAAAACAUAAUAGGUAUUCAGUAAUUGAUGGAGAAACUCUUGAAGAAGUAGAGUCAGGAAGACUGCCCAAUAAUUAGUCUGCCCAAACCUGUGUCCUGUUUGCACUCAACCAAGCUUUGAAACAUUUGCAGAACAAAGAAGGAACUGUUUAUACUGAUUCUAAGUAUGCCUUUGGCGUGGCACAUACAGUUAGAAAAAUUUGGGCUGAGCAAGGUCUUAUUAACAGUAAAGGCCAAGAUCUAGUCCACAAAGAACUAAUUUUUCGUGUCCUAGACAAUCUCCAGUUGCCAGAAGAGAUAGCUAUUGUACAUGUCCCAGGGCAUAAAGGACUUUUCUUUCACAAGUCAGGGAAAUAACCAAAUGACCUUGCAGAUCAGAUAACCAAACAAGCUGCUGUUUCUUCUAAAAUGCCUUUCACUUAACUCCUUGCCUUCCUUCCCCUACUGCAGUCCCCAUCUUCUCUUCCACUAAAAAAGGAAAAGUUAAUAAAAAUAGAAGCUAAAGAGAACACAGAAGGAAAAUGGAUACUACCAGAUCAAAGGGAGAUGUUAUCCAAACCUCUCAUAAGGGAGUUCUUAACCAUGGUUCUCAGCCUUCAUGGGUGUAUAGGAAUUUAUACCCUAGCCAAGCAAGUUACAAAUAGUUGUCUAAAAUGUUAAGAAAACCAACAAACAAGUCAUAAAGAAAUCACCUCCAAGGGGGAGGGAUCCAGGACUAAGGCCAUUCCAAAGUGUUCAAAUGAACUGCACUGAAAUGACUCCAAUCGUUUGCCUCAAGUAUUUGUUGGUAAUAGUAGAUCAGCUCAACUCACUAGAUUGAAGCUACCUCCUUUUCAAAUGCAACAGCUAAUAAUGUAGUUAAAGCAUUAAUUGAGAAUAUAGUGCCCAAAUUUGGGCUAAUAGAGAAUAUUGACUCAGACAAUGGAACCUAUCUCACAGCCCAUGUCAUUAAGAAGCUAUCCCAGGUUUUAAACAUUAGAUGGGAGUAUCAUACCCCUUGGCAUCCACCUUCAUCAGGGAGGGUAGAAAGGAUGAAUCAGACUUUAAAGAACCAUUUAACCAAAUUAGUUCUAGAAACUCAUUUACUGUGGACCAAAUGUCUUCCCAUUGCCUUAUUGAGGAUCAGGACAGCUCCCUGAAAGGAUAUAGGCCUGUCUCCAUAUGAAAUGUUAUAUGGAUUGCCUUAUUUACAUUCCUAAGCUGAUGUUCCUGUGUUUAAAACUAAGGAUCAGUUCCUGAGCAAUUAUAUACUUGGUCUCUCCUCUACCUUUUCUUCUCUUAAGGUCAAAGGUCUCUUAGCACAGGCCACCACUAGAAUUUCCAGCACACCAGCACCAACCCAGGGACCACCUUCUCAUCAAAGGGUGGAAGGAAGGGAAACUCGAGCCCACCUGGGAAGGCCCCUAUCUGGUGCUGUUAACCACCGAGACUGCCGUCCGCACAGCUGAGAAAGGAUGGACCCACCAUACUCUAGUUAAGAAAGCAGCUUCCUCGUCAGAAUCAUGGGUUGCUGUACCAGGAUUGAGUCCUACCAAGUUGAAGUUAAAGAAAGCUUAAUUUUUAUAUACCUUCUAUAUUGCUUCCUUUCCUUUCCUUAUUCUGUUACUAGCUCCUUUGUUAUUAAUGUAACUAAGUCUGACUCACCUCAGACCAUUGCCUUUAAUGCUUGCUCUGUCACACCUUGUGGAGAUGUGAAAGAUCAAUGACAGCUAGCCUUUUCACACAAAUAUUUAUGCCCCAGCCCUCUAACUGACACAGUUAUUCCUAGCUCUCAUAGUUGUGAUCGCCUGCAGCUGAGACACCAAUUGUCUGCUCCUACAGCCUGGCAACCUUGCAGUAGCUGGAACUAUGUCCUUUGAACUACUCAGGAGCAAGGUUAGACUUCCACGGAAGAGACAGGAAAUGUGCCCGUGUUGUAACAAGGUUUGAAGGAGGUACCUCUCACACAUGAGCAUGAAAACCCAAUAAUCACACCUAUGAAUUACAAAAGGAUCUAACUAAGGAUGUCUUAAUGGUGCUUCAGUCUGUCAGAACACAGUAUUAAACUGGGAAAGAUUCAGAGAAGAGUACCAGAGUCCCUUCAUUACGUACAAGAAUGUUUGUGGCAUCACUGUUCACAACAGCAAAAAACCCAGAAGGGAAAACCAAUGUCCAAGAAGAUGAGCAUAAACUGGUAUAUUCACACAAAAUGGUAUAUAACUGUUAAAAGAAAUAAAUUACAAUGAUAUGCCAUAUGGUAGGCAAGUUCUGACAAGGCUCCCAAUGUCCCACCCCUGCCUCCUGGUAUUCAUACCUUCGUGUAAUUUCCUUACCUUGAAUGUGGGCUGGACCUAGUGACUGGCUUCUAAUGAAGAGAGUACAGCAAUAAUGAGGGGAUGUAAAUUCUGUAAUUCAGUUACAACAGACUGUGAUUUUGUCUUGCUGAUAUUCUCUCCCUGGCUCUUCUCAUGCGCUGUGAUGGAGAAGGCCACCUUUCAAGGAACUGAGGGUGAUCUCUGUUCAACAGCCAGUAAGAAUCAAAGCUCUUAAUCCAAUUCCAUAAGGAACUUAAUUCUGCCAGCAACCACUGAGUGAGCUUGGAAGUAGAUCUGGCCCAGUUAACCUUGAGGUGACUAUGGCCUCAGGCAACACCUUGAUUAUAGCCUCAUGAGAAAUCCUGAAGUAGAGGAUCCAGCUAACCUGUGCCUAGAUUCCUGACCCACAGAAACUGAGAUAAUGAAUGAGUGUUGUUUUUAACCUAACAAGCUUAGGGCUCAUUUGUCACACAGCAGUAAGUAAGACACAGAACAAUAUAAAUGAAUCUUACCAAUAUAUCACAUGAAAAAUGUAAAUCCAAAAGAUUAUAUAUAUAUAUCUCAAGAUGUAUUUUUGUCAAGUGAAAAGCAAUUAAACAGACUUUUUAGGAAUACAAGUAGAUGCAGUAACACUACACAGAAAAAAAAGACAAAAAGCAACAUUGAACACAGAUUCAAGAUCAUGUUUACCAGGGGUGAAGGGUAGUGGGAGAAGACAAGAUGUGGGAAAUGUGAUAAAGGGAAUUAUAUGUUUAGUAAAGAAUAUUAACAUUUAAGCUGAGCCAUCAAGAAUGGGCAAGACUGUCAUUCAGAAGUCAGAAAGAAGGAAAUUCCAGAUGGAAUAACUAAGUUAAAGCACCAAAGCAAAGAUCACAGGUAUUUUUGGGAAUGAGCAUGUUGGCCAAUUUGGUUAAGUAUAGGCCAUUCAAAAUAAGCAAGAAGUCUGCUCUUAAAAAGAGGCUGGGAUUGCAUCAGCAAGUCUGAACUUGAUUCUGUAGACAACUGGUAGAGCAAGGAGCAAUUAAGGACAGUUAGCUGAAGGUUUUAGUGCUAGGAACUAAGUAGGUUUCAAGGAGAUUGAUCCGACAAGCCUGAGUGACAUAGAUUAGAGGAGUAAGAGACUAGAGGCAAAAAAGAAAAAUCAAUUAGACAGUUAUUACAGAAAUCUAAAUUAGUGUGAAUUGGGGCUUUAAUUAUUCACUCAUAUAAUUCAGUGUUUACUGGAUUCCUUCCUCUAUGCCAGGCACUAUGCUAGAUCCUGAGGAUUCAACAAGGUAGGAAAGAUCCCUCCUAUCAUGAAGCAUAUAUUCUGAUUGGAAACAGGCAAUAAAAAAUAAAAAAAGUGAUAAUUUUAGAUUGUUAUAAGUGUUUCCAAGGAAAUAAACAUGGUGAAACACUAGGAAAUAACAGGGAAGUGAAGAGAAAAAACUUGAAAAAGAACAUUCAAGGUGAUACUGAAGUAGGACUGCAGAGAAUGACAAAGACUAUGAAGGCCACAGGAAAAUGGAACAGCAUUCCAAAGCAGGGGUAAAAGGCCAGGGAGCAGAUAUUUUAGGCUUGUGGACCCUCUGUCUCUAUUCUAACGACUCAACUCUGCAGUUGUUGCUUGAAAGUAGUUACAGACAAUACACAAAUGAAUGGGUGUGGCUGUGUUUGAAGAAAACCUUAUUUACAAAACAGGUGGUGGUCCACAGGCCAUAGUUUUCUGACCCUGUUCUUAAGAAAUAACAGUCCUAAAGAGUGCUGAAAGAAAAGAAAAUUGUCAUUUACUGCUAUGGUGAAGUAAAGAAAAUAAAUAGGAUAAUAGUCGAAA